CACACACACACACUCAAAAGCAUACACACACAUUAGCUGCCAGGAAAAUAUCAAUGGCAGUAAGCUAGCUCCCAGAAAGAAACCAUUUCUGUCUGUCUCCUUUCCUCCUCAGUCCUCACACCAGUCUUACGCAAUACAAUGAAUGCUUCAUUUGUUUCUUCUUUCUUCCUCAUCCCAUUAUACUUUCAUUUCUCUCUCUGUAACUUUCCCAGGUGGGAAUUAUGUCAUUGUUGUAAAACUUGGGAAUUUGGGGGAAAAUUACCCGAAUUUUUCGACCCUCGAUGUGCCCUCUCUCUUGGUUCUUACUUGUGAGCUGUGAAAAUAAUUUUGUCUUGAAGGACAGUAUAUAGUCAAUCAAUCAAUCUCUCCCCUGGAAAACAUUUAGACUUACUGCUUACUGUCAGCUUUCUCCUAAUGGCCCAUUCCCACACACUUGUUCUGUUUUACACAAUACUCAACCACCUGACAUUCUUCAUCCGUUCCUUCCUCCUACUCUCACUCGUGAUGUCAUCUGAGGUGAUGUCAUCUGAGGUGAUGUCAUCUGAGGUGAUGUCAUCUGAGGUGAUGUAUAGUACUGUAUGUAUGAGUGGGCCAGGACUGCCUGUCAUCUGAGGUGAUGUAUAGUACUGUAUGUAUGAGUGGGCCAGGACUGCCUGUCAUCUGAGGUGAUGUAUAGUACUGUAUGUAUGAGCGGGCCAGGACUGCCUGUCAUCUGAGGUGAUGUAUAGUACUGUAUGUAUGAGUGGGCCAGGACUGCCUGUCAUCUGAGGUG